rnacentral:rRNA from 1 species
GACGAAACGCUGGCGGCGCGCUCUAACACAUGCAAGUCGAACGAGAGAUGAGGAGCUUGCUCUUCAAAUCGAGUGGCGAACGGGUGAGUAACGCGUGAGGAACCUGCCUCAAAGAGGGGGACAACAGUUGGAAACGACUGCUAAUACCGCAUAAGCCCACGGCUCGGCAUCGAGCAGAGGGAAAAGGAGCAAUCCGCUUUGAGAUGGCCUCGCGUCCGAUUAGCUAGUUGGUGAGGUAACGGCCCACCAAGGCGACGAUCGGUAGCCGGACUGAGAGGUUGAACGGCCACAUUGGGACUGAGACACGGCCCAGACUCCUACGGGAGGCAGCAGUGGGGAAUAUUGCACAAUGGGGGAAACCCUGAUGCAGCGACGCCGCGUGGAGGAAGAAGGUCUUCGGAUUGUAAACUCCUGUUGUUGAGGAAGAUAAUGGCGGUACUCAACAAGGAAGUGACGGCUAACUACGUGCCAGCAGCCGCGGUAAAACGUAGGUCACAAGCGUUGUCCGGAAUUACUGGGUGUAAAGGGAGCGCAGGCGGGAGAACAAGUUGGAAGUGAAAUCCAUGGGCUCAACCCAUGAACUGCUUUCAAAACUGUUUUUCUUGAGUAGUGCAGAGGUAGGCGGAAUUCCCGGUGUAGCGGUGGAAUGCGUAGAUAUCGGGAGGAACACCAGUGGCGAAGGCGGCCUACUGGGCACCAACUGACGCUGAGGCUCGAAAGUGUGGGUAGCAAACAGGAUUAGAUACCCUGGUAGUCCACACCGUAAACGAUGAUUACUAGGUGUUGGAGGAUUGACCCCUUCAGUGCCGCAGUUAACACAAUAAGUAAUCCACCUGGGGAGUACGACCGCAAGGUUGAAACUCAAAGGAAUUGACGGGGGCCCGCACAAGCAGUGGAGUAUGUGGUUUAAUUCGACGCAACGCGAAGAACCUUACCAAGUCUUGACAUCCCUUGACGAUGCUGGAAACAGUAUUUCUCUUCGGAGCAAGGAGACAGGUGGUGCAUGGUUGUCGACAGCUCGUGUCGUGAGAUGUUGGGUUAAGUCCCGCAACGAGCGCAACCCUUAUGGUCAGUUACUACGCAAGAGGACUCUGGCCAGACUGCCGUUGACAAAACGGAGGAAGGUGGGGAUGACGUCAAAUCAUCAUGCCCUUUAUGACUUGGGCUACACACGUACUACAAUGGCGUUAAACAAAGAGAAGCAAGACCGCGAGGUGGAGCAAAACUCAGAAACAACGUCCCAGUUCGGACUGCAGGCUGCAACUCGCCUGCACGAAGUCGGAAUUGCUAGUAAUCGUGGAUCAGCAUGCCACGGUGAAUACGUUCCCGGGCCUU